rnacentral:rRNA from 1 species
UACGGGGGGAGCAAGCGUUGUUCGGAUUUACUGGGCGUAAAGGGCGCGUAGGCGGUCAGCACAAGUCAGUUGUGAAAUCUCCGGGCUUAACCCGGAAAGGUCAACUGAUACUGUGCGACUAGAGUGCGGAAGGGGCAACUGGAAUUCUCGGUGUAGCGGUGAAAUGCGUAGAUAUCGAGAGGAACACCUGCGGCGAAGGCGGGUUGCUGGGCCGACACUGACGCUGAUGCGCGAAAGCUAGGGGAGCAAACGGG